AUUUUCAAUUCAUAAUUUAUUUUCAAAAAUUUGAUUUGUUUAUCAACCAUGAAUGAAAAAAGUCCGUUUGUAAUGGACUUAAAGAUAUAUCGUUUUUUAUUUCUACCAUAGUGUGUCAUUAUAAAAAUAUUGGCAUAAUCUUGAAAUAAAAGCGUGUACUAUUUGUCAAAAUUUAAUUCAUUGAUGGAAUUAACUUGUAAGUUUCAUAUGGUUAUCAUUUCAUACCUGUUUUAGAAUGGAUUUUUAUUUUAAAGUUAACUGAUACACUGUAUUACUAUUUUGUUUCCAUCGAUUUUGUGAUAUUUAAUUGAAUCCGAGUGAUUACUUUAUUAAUUGUAUAUAAUAAAAUAACAUUACUGUG
rnacentral:misc_RNA from 1 species